CCUACGGGUGGCAGCAGUGGGGAAUAUUGCACAAUGGGGGAAACCCUGAUGCAGCGACGCCGCGUGAGCGAUGAAGUCUUUCGGUAUGUAAAGCUCUAUCUACAGGGAAGAAAAUGACGGUACCUGACUAAGAUGCCCCGGCUAACUACGUGCCAGCAGCCGCGGUAAUACGUAGGGGGCAACCGUUAUCCGGAUUUACUGGGUGUAAAGGGAGCGUAGACGGUUCUGCAAGCCAGAUGUGAAAGCCCGGGGCUCAACCGCGGGACUGCAUUUGGAACUGUAAGGCUAGAGUUUAGUAGAGGCAGGCGGAAUUCGUGGUGUAGCGGUGAAAUGCGUAGAUAUUAGGAAGAACACCGGUGGCGAAGGCGGCCUGCUGGACGAUGACUGACGUUGAGGCUCGAAAGCGUGGGGAGCAAACAGGAUUAGAUACCCUAGUAGUC
rnacentral:rRNA from 1 species